UACGAAGGGUGCAAGCGUUAAUCGGAAUUACUGGGCGUAAAGGGUGCGUAGGCGGCCUGUUAAGUCAGAUGUGAAAGCCCUGGGCUCAACCUGGGAAUGGCAUUUGAGACUGGGAGGCUGGAGUGCGGUAGAGGGUGGUGGAAUUCCCGGUGUAGCGGUGAAAUGCGUAGAGAUCGGGAGGAACAUCGAUGGCGAAGGCAGCCACCUGGACCAGCACUGACGCUGAGGCACGAAAGCGUGGGGAGCAAAC
rnacentral:rRNA from 1 species